rnacentral:misc_RNA from 1 species
AAGGAUCAUUAUCGAAUAAACUUGAACAGGCUGUUGCUGGCCCCUCACUGAGGGUGCAUGUGCACGCUUGUCAUCUUUAUCAUUUCUCCAACUGUGCACAUAUUGUAGACCUGGAAGCUUUUGAAUUUAUUUUCGAGUUGGGACUGCUGUGCUUUUGGUCAAAGUCAGCUUUGCCUUGAAUUUCCAGGUCUAUGUCAUUUUCACAACCUCUUGAUGCGUUUAGAAUGUACCUAUAAAGUUAAAAUAUACAACUUUCAGCAACGGAUCUCUUGGCUCUC